rnacentral:rRNA from 1 species
AUACGGAGGAUGCGAGCGUUGUCCGGAUUUAUUGGGCGUAAAGGGUGCGUAGGCGGCCUUGUAAGUCAGAUGUGAAAGAUCAUGGCUUAACUGUGGUAAGCAUUUGAAACUGCAGGGCUUGAGUACAGGAGAGGAGAGUGGAAUUCCUAGUGUAGCGGUGAAAUGCGUAGAUAUUAGGAGGAAUACCAGUGGCGAAGGCGACUCUCUGGACUGAUACUGACGCUGAGGCACGAAAGCGUGGGGAGCAAACAGGAUUAGAUACCCUGGUAGUCCACGCCGUAAACGAUGAGCACUAAGUGUCGGAUGAAUUUUCGGCGCUGCAGUUAACACAAUAAGUGCUCCGCCUGGGGAGUACGGUCGCAAGACUGAAACUCAAAGGAAUUGGCGGGG